UUAUGUUAUUACAGUUUAUUUGUUCAGAAGAUCUUUUAAGCUUUCUUUAUUUAUUUUAGCAUCACCGUGUUACUUGAGGAACACCCAUGCUUUUUCUGUGUUUUCGUUGGUGAGACAUUAGAUCUAUUUUUCUGAGCGAAGAAAUUGUUUGUCGGUCAGUUAGCUACAUCUAUGCAGAGUCCAGACUAUAUCUAAUAUUUUAACAGUGUCCUAUGGCCGGUCCUUCCCCGGAUCUCACGCAUGGCGGAAGCUUUAGUUUACCAGGUUGUCCUUUAAAUAGUGUCCUAUUCCAUAAACCCUCAAAUGACAUAGAUAUGGAGUCCCGAUUAGUUUAGAUAGAAAAUUUGCCCCAGAAAAAUGUGAACAUUGUUCUCAAAGAGAAGAAUAACUUGGUAGAGGUAGAAAGGUUGAGAGUAAAUUGAAUGAUUGAUUAAAAAUCAUUUCUGAAUAUUCUUCUUGUUAAGCUGCUAAGGUUUGGGGUUUUGUCUAUCCUAAUGGACUCUCAAUCUUGCAGAGAGAUAUAUAGUCAUUUGAUAAACAUUGUAAACUUAUUUUAUGUACAAGAAAUAUAAACUUGUGUAGUGGAAAUGCAGUAUCAAUUUCUAGUACAAUCAAGUUGUAUUAUUGUGAUGCUUGGAGUAUUUAAUCUUCAUCUUACUGAACGUUAGAUAUAAUUGUGUUAGAUUCGAGGGUUGGCAUGGCCGGCACUGCUGGUUGGUUGGGUUGCUCAAAGUGCAAGGCAUGAAAGAUUCAUGGGGACCUUUAAAGGCUUUGGUUGUUGUUACUGUUAUUAAUGGCAUUGGCGACAUAGUCUUGUGCAGAGUCUUCAGUUAUGGUAUUGCUGGAGCGGCAUGGGCAACACUUGUGUCUCAAGUUGUUGCAGCGUAUAUGAUGAUUGAAGCACUGAACAAUAAAGGCUAUAAGGGUUUUGCUAUCUCUGUUCCAUCAACAGAUGAACUUCUGCAGAUAUUCAUGAAUGUUGGCACCGUGUUUCUAACAAUGAUGUCAAAGGUUUGUGUUAAUUGACCCCAUUCUCAUCCGGUGCCGAAAUCAUACUUUAUGUGGACAUCCGAUAUUCUGCUGAACUACAGAUUGCAUUCUACUCUCUACUGGUCUAUUUUGCUACCUCAUUGGGCACACAGACAGUAGUUACUCAUCAGGUCAUGGUACACUGUUCAUGAUCUGUGCAAUAUGGGGUCAACCUCUCUCGCAAACAGCAGAGUCGUUUGUGCCCGAAUUGUUAGAUGGAGUCAACCGAAAUUUAUCAAAGGUUAUAAUCUUAUUUUGGUAAAAUCACAAAGCCAUAAUAUGUAAAAUCAAAAAUAUGUGCUCAAACCCUUCAUUUAAAGCUAUAACCAUUCAUCACAAAAUUUGUCAUCAUUGGAAGUGUGAAUUAAAUUUCACAUUUAUUCUCUAACCAUGUCCGAAGUUCAAAACCUGCAACACUAAACAAUGAUUUCAAAACCCCCUGAACACAAAUAUGGUGGGUUCUUCAAACAAGAUUUCCCACAACAAGUUCUAAUUGCCUCAAGAAUCCUAGAACAAUAAAGAUUUCAUUGUAAGUAAGAAUGUUUAACAUUUGGAUGUAUAGCUGUCAAAAUAAGCUGGCCCAACUCAACCCAAUCCAAGCCUCACGGGCCAAAGAAUUUGAUGGGUUAGGACGGGCCGGUCGUUCACUUUAAAGGGUCUUGAAAUGUAUGGCCCAACCUAGCCCUAAUAGGGUCGUGGGUUAGGGCGGGCUAGCCCUUUAUUUUAUCGAUUUUUUGUUAGAUUUUUUUUUUUUCAAUUUGAACUAAUAGAUAUGGUAAUCCAUUCA